ACUGCUGAACGGCCCCGAUAAUAUCAAUCUGUGAUACAGGUGUGAUGGGUUGAGCUCAAAGUAUGAGUGCUAAUGCUGCACUGACUGUGCUCAAAGGAUGAACGCUAACACUGCACUGAUUGUAACAUCUUAACUUAAAAAUAUCUUAAAACCCUCUUUCUGUUUAGCCGUUCUGUCCACAUCUGUUUCAAACUCCUGCAACUGUUCUAUGGGAUCUUGGCAUCAUCGAGGGUUUACAUGUUCUGAAGGCUCUGAAGUCCGUGGUCACAUCUUCCAGCCACAGGGACAACCAUAAAAGCAGUCAUUCCAGGUCUGUCCUGUAAACAUGACCGCAGCGACCCAGAGCAGAGAGAAGGCUGAUGGGUCGAGACUCUCCACUGAACAUCAGUCCUUUACACCCGGAUACAGAAAUAGCCUGUUUUUAAAAGAUAGCUAAAUCUUUCCCCACGGAUUUAGAAACAUUCAUCCAUGUCUGGAAAUAGUGUGUUGUAACAGAGCACCAGUGGAGGGGAGCACUUCAAAACAAACAAACAGCAAAGCAGUGACGAUGGGCAUGAAAACAUGAAAGCAAAGUUUCUGGAAGUUUUUGUUGUUGCUGCCCUUUUAAAAUGAACCAGGCUUAGAUUUGUAAGAAGCUUCAAAAUAUUGACAGUCCAGCCUCCCUGGCUGUUCCAAGCUCUUCCACUUCCAACUGCAGUGCAAUGUUUUGGUGUUAAGUGUAGUUUCUCUCUAACAAAACCCUAUCUGGUUAAUUGUUUUAAUGGGAAACAAACUCACAUUUAUGGUUGGAGAGUGCCAUAACCCACCCGUCACAAACACUGACUUAGACAGUGAUAAAUGGCUUUUUCCCUCCAGGUUCCUGGUUUUAAUAUCUAAUGUGGAUCUGAAAGUCAGUAAAAUGAGAAUAGAGCCUGGGAUGAUGCUAUUCUUGAAUCAAUAGCCGCUUCUUGACUCAAGAAUGAGUCUUGAUAGGUUAGUUACACUUCACGAAUUCGACCCACUGAAAACAACUUUCUGGUGGCCCUUUCUGGGAGUAAACCCAACUGUCCAGAUACCUCCAGCUCAUGAAACAGUUCCACUGUGUAUUUGCAGGGACAAGGAUGGAGGGAAAUGAACAUCAGAAUUGUUCCACCACCUCCCCUGCUCAGCUGCUGCCUUGGACUUGGGGUUCUUUCAGAGCACUGAGAGAGUUGGGAUGAACUUGCUGCUUAACUCCUUUGUGACCAAAGGCUGCUGAAUUCCCAGGCAGCAACGUGGCUGAGACAAAUCGCCAUUUCCUCUUCAGAAAAUGGAAGGGAUGGGAAGGUUUGAAGUGGCAGUGCCCGGUCUGGUGCAGCCCAGCUCCUCGUGGCUCCUCUCUCCUGGGCAGGGGGCACCUUCCGCCCAAACUCUCCCCUACUCCAACACAGGUGGGCAAUGUAAAACGUUGUUUGAAAGAAUUCCUUUGCACCUAACAGUUUGGAUUGGUAUUUAUUACAAAACUACAUUCCAGAACAGAUGAAACAUGACGAGCUCUGCUAUGUAAUAUCUAAGCCAGAGGAGACAGAGCUCCUCAAUCCAGCAGCUCCAGACAAAGCUCAGUCAAACCUAACACACAGACUUUAAGGAUUCACGUUUUAUCAUCUCCCAUAACAUCUUUACUUGGCCAUCGUUUUGCUUAGAGAGGUUCUUAAGCCUAAAUCCUGGAGGCAGGCAGCCGUGACUGGCUGUGUGUCUGCU